UACGUAGGUGGCGAGCGUUGUCCGGAUUUACUGGGCGUAAAGAGCGCGCAGGCGGUCGUACAAGUCGAACGUGAAAUCCCUGGGCUCAACCCAGGAACUGCGUCCGAUACUGGAAGGCUUGAAUCCGGGAGAGGGAUGCGGAAUUCCAGGUGUAGCGGUGAAAUGCGUAGAUAUCUGGAGGAACACCGGUGGCGAAGGCGGCAUCCUGGACCGGUAUUGACGCUGAGGCGCGAAAGCCAGGGGAGCAAACGGG
rnacentral:rRNA from 1 species